ACACUCCUACGGGAGGCAGCAGUAGGGAAUCUUCCACAAUGGGUGCAAACCUGAUGGAGCAAUGCCGCGUGAGUGAAGAAGGUCUUCGGAUCGUAAAGCUCUGUUGUUAGAGAAGAACACGUGCUAGGUAACUACUAGCGCCUUGACGGUAUCUAACCAGAAAGUCACGGCUAACUACGUGCCAGCAGCCGCGGUAAUACGUAGGUGACAAGCGUUGUCCGGAUUUAUUGGGCGUAAAGGGAGCGCAGGCGGUCUGUUUAGUCUAAUGUGAAAGCCCACGGCUUAACCGUGGAACGGCAUUGGAAACUGACAGACUUGAAUGUAGAAGAGGAAAAUGGAAUUCCAAGUGUAGCGGUGGAAUGCGUAGAUAUUUGGAGGAACACCAGUGGCGAAGGCGAUUUUCUGGUCUAACAUUGACGCUGAGGCUCGAAAGCGUGGGGAGCGAACAGGAUUAGAUACCCCGGUAGUCCCA
rnacentral:rRNA from 1 species